AUGUCAUUCUUUCUUGUCCUCCUGUUGAUCUAGUAGCUAUAUGAUCUCUUUCACUCUUAUUGACUGCUCUUCGGUUGACCUGUGGAUCUACCUCUAACCCAAGAGGGUCACUUGGCUGCUGAGAAAGGAGAGUAAGCCAGGCACGGACCCGUCAGCUACUGCCUGGACUCCCACCAGCACUGUUUCAGCUGGUCAAGAGCCUGAACACACUACACUCAGGGCAAAGAAACUUCUUCUCGUCUUUGCCCUCACUUGCCUCCUGUUAAAGCUGACUGUCUUGCUACGUAUUUGUACACUUCCUUGUUUUCCUGUCUCUUUAUCUGAAACGCCUGUCCUCGUCAGAGUGUGGUGGGAUGUGUGUGUCUAUGGACUCUCUCAUGUGUUCUGCAGUGGGCAGCGUGAAUUACAGACUCGCAAACCAGGAAAUAGGACUAGGGUUGCCUUACAUAAUCUCACACGCUGGAACUGGGGCCCUUUCAAGGGGGUUAACGACUAGUCCACUGUCGCCGCAGAUGCUCCUCUCUCACCCUUUCAUAACACAGCCCACAGCAGAGGAAGGAGGGGGGACAGGAGGAAAAAAUGCAAUGUGGCUCAUAUGUGUGUCAGUGACACUAUUACAGAGGUGUUAGCUAAGUGUCCUGUUGAGGUCCUUGAGUUUUAAAUUUGGGGUUGAGUCCUUCAGAGUGUUAAGCUGCAUGCUGUAGACUCCUCUAAUUGGAGCAGUGACACUUAUGUGUGCUAGAAAGAAAAACAGGGGUUGGUGUAACUUAAAUUAUUUAAUUAAUAAACAGAUAAAUUUAUUUGA